rnacentral:rRNA from 1 species
AACGGCCGCAGUAUUUUGACUGUGCAAAGGUAGCAUAAUCAUUAGUCUUUUAAUAGGGGGCUGGUAUGAAGGGUUUGACGAGGUGUUAACUGUCUCAUUUAAUUUGUAUUUAGAAUUUAACUUUUCAGUUAAAAGGCUGAAAUUGUAUUGGAAGACGAGAAGACCCUAUAGAGCUUUAUAAUUAGUAUUUUAAUUGUUUUUUGUAAUAUAAAUUAUGAUUAUAAUUUUAAUUAUUUUGUUGGGGUGACAAAAAUAUAUAUUUAACUUUUUUAUUUAAUUGACAUUGAUUUAUGAAUGUUAGAUCCAGUCUUAUUGAUUGUUAGAUUAAGUUACCUUAGGGAUAACAGCGUAAUCUUCCUCCAGAGUUCAUAUUUACGGGAAGGCUUGCGACCUCGAUGUUGGAUUAAGAUAAUAGUUAGGUGUAGCCGCUUAAUGUAUAGGUCUGUUCGAC